CGUGGGGUGGCUGAAUGUAGGCGGUUGGUUGUAAACUUUCUUAUGAAAUAUAUUUCUCCUGCGA
rnacentral:tRNA from 1 species